rnacentral:tRNA from 1 species
GCGGGUGUAGCUCAGUUGGUUAGAGUGCCGGCCUGUCACGCCGGAGGUCGCGGGUUCGAGCCCCCUUCACUCGCGCCA